CCUGGCGACGAGAGCGGGGAUUUUUCUGAUUGGCUGACGCUUGUACAGCGAGGGCGAGGCUGCAGGGCGACCAGGCAAGUCUGGAGUCUUCCCCAGCAACAAAACCCCUUCCACCUGGCUGUAAGAAGCCGAACCGAACCAGAGUUCGGACUCAGUACAGAAAAAAUAUUCAAAAAUGUUACUAAACUUCUUUCUGAUGCAAUAUCCUUGUUAGAAAGAUCAAAUGUAUUUCUUCUUUUCCUUUGAAAGUGUAACUAGAAUACAUUUGUCUUUAAGGAAAGGUUUACUAUGGGGUAAUAAAACAGUCCAAAUGUCAGGUUGGAUCCGGUUCAGGAACCAUCAGUGGCGAUGAAGAAACUCCAUUGAGAGUGGAUAAAAACCUCCUGACCCGGUCCAUUUGUGCCACAAUCACCAUUCAGGGGAGUCCUGGCAGGUCCAGCAGCAAAGAGACACAUCUGGAUCAGCUGGACUCCAGAACCUGCAGAACCACAGACACCUGAGCUCACCACAACACAACUCUGACAAACAGCACAAAGUUUAUUAAAACUACAUUACCUGCAAUGCAAGUGUGAAUCUUGUUGCUGGAAAUGGUGAAGGAAUUUGCUAAACGACAAAAUAAAAAAAACAAAAUUAAGUUUGUCCAAAUAUGACAAAAAUAGACUAAAAAGAUGGAGAAACUUUUAAUUUUUUUUAUAAAUAAGCUGCCUUGUUCCUGUUUAGAUUAUUCAUCUCAUAAAAGGCUUUAAAGCAAAGAGCGACGGCUCCUAAAAGUAGCUUGUUUGAUAAUAAACUUUAUGAUGGGGAAAUAGUUGUUGACCUGUCGUUCAGGUCAUAAGGCAAUAUAUCUUUAAAAGCAUAGAAAC